rnacentral:miRNA from 1 species
CUCCAGAUGUUGCUGAACUACAACUCCCAUGAUUCUCAACCUAUUUAAUUCAUAGAAUCAUGGGAGUUGUAGUUCAGCAACAUCUGGAG